rnacentral:rRNA from 1 species
GACGAACGCUGGCGGCGUGCUUAACACAUGCAAGUCGAACGGAAAGGCCCUGCUUUUGUGGGGUGCUCGAGUGGCGAACGGGUGAGUAACACGUGAGUAACCUGCCCUUGACUUUGGGAUAACUUCAGGAAACUGGGGCUAAUACCGGAUAGGAGCUCCCGCUGCAUGGUGGGGGUCGGAAAGUUUCGGCGGUUGGGGAUGGACUCGCGGCUUAUCAGCUUGUUGGUGGGGUAGUGGCUUACCAAGGCUUUGACGGGUAGCCGGCCUGAGAGGGUGACCGGCCACAUUGGGACUGAGAUACGGCCCAGACUCCUACGGGAGGCAGCAGUGGGGAAUAUUGCACAAUGGGCGGAAGCCUGAUGCAGCAACGCCGCGUGCGGGAUGACGGCCUUCGGGUUGUAAACCGCUUUCGCCUGUGACGAAGCGUGAGUGACGGUAAUGGGUAAAGAAGCACCGGCUAACUACGUG